CCUACGGGGAGCAGCAGUGAGGAAUAUUGGUCAAUGGACGCAAGUCUGAACCAGCCAUGCCGCGUGCAGGAAGACGGCUCUAUUAGUUGUAAACUGCUUUUGUACGAGGGUAAACGCAGAUACGCGUAUCUGUCUGCAAGUAUCGUACGAAUCAGGAUCGGCUAACUCCGUGCCAGCAGCCGCGGUAAUACGGAGGAUUCAAGCGUUAUCCGGAUUUACUGGGUGUAACGGGUGCGUAGACGGUAGGAUAAGUUAGAGGUGAAAUCCGGAGGCUCAACUUCGGGAUUGCCCCUGAUACUGUACGGCUGGAGGGCAGGAGAGGUAAGGGGAAUGCCUAGGGUAGCGGUGAAAUGCGUAGAGAUCAGGAGGAACACC
rnacentral:rRNA from 1 species